GAUGCUGGUGGUUGGCACUCCUGCUUGCCAGGAUGGGGUUCAAGUCCCUACAGUGUC
rnacentral:sRNA from 1 species